UACGAAGGGGGCUAGCGUUGCUCGGAAUUACUGGGUGUAAAGCGCGUGUAGGCGGCAGACCAAGUGGGCGGUGAAAGCGCCCGGCUCAACUGGGCGAGGUCCGUGGAAACUGGUCAGCUGGAGGACGGUAGAGGCGAGUGGAAUUCCCGGUGUAGUGGUGAAAUGCGUAGAGAUCGGGAGGAACACCUGUGGCGAAGGCGGCUCGCUGGGCCGGUCCUGACGCUGAGACGCGAAGGCGUGGGGAGCGAACGGG
rnacentral:rRNA from 1 species